rnacentral:rRNA from 1 species
AUUGAACGCUGGCGGCAGGCUUAACACAUGCAAGUCGAGCGGGGAAAGGUAGCUUGCUACCUGACCUAGCGGCGGACGGGUGAGUAAUGCUUAGGAAUCUGCCUAUUAGUGGGGGACAACAUCUCGAAAGGGAUGCUAAUACCGCAUACGUCCUACGGGAGAAAGCAGGGGACCUUCGGGCCUUGCGCUAAUAGAUGAGCCUAAGUCGGAUUAGCUAGUUGGUGGGGUAAAGGCCUACCAAGGCGACGAUCUGUAGCGGGUCUGAGAGGAUGAUCCGCCACACUGGGACUGAGACACGGCCCAGACUCCUACGGGAGGCAGCAGUGGGGAAUAUUGGACAAUGGGGGGAACCCUGAUCCAGCCAUGCCGCGUGUGUGAAGAAGGCCUUUUGGUUGUAAAGCACUUUAAGCGAGGAGGAGGCUACCGAGA